rnacentral:rRNA from 1 species
GAUGAACGCUGGCGGCGUGCCUAAUACAUGCAAGUCGAGCGAACAGAUGAGGAGCUUGCUCCUCUGACGUUAGCGGCGGACGGGUGAGUAACACGUGGAUAACCUACCUAUAAGACUGGGAUAACUUCGGGAAACCGGAGCUAAUACCGGAUAAUAUAUUGAACCGCAUGGUUCAAUAGUGAAAGACGGUUUUGCUUUCACUUAUAGAUGGAUCCGCGCCGCAUUAGCUAGUUGGUAAGGUAACGGCUUACCAAGGCAACGAUGCGUAGCCGACCUGAGAGGGUGAUCGGCCACACUGGAACUGAGACACGGUCCAGACUCCUACGGGAGGCAGCAGUAGGGAAUCUUCCGCAAUGGGAGAAAGCCUGACGGAGCAACGCCGCGUGAGUGAUGAAGGUCUUCGGAUCGUAAAACUCUGUUAUUAGGGAAGAACAAAUGUGUAAGUAACUAUGCACGUCUUGACGGUACCUAAUCAGAAAGCCACGGCUAACUACGU